rnacentral:rRNA from 1 species
GUGUCAUUGUAAUCUCACUUCAUCAGCUUUUGUUGAUGGAGGUGGACCUGGACUCUGUUGUGUCAUUACAACUGGUCUGAAAUGUGUGAGUGCACCCUGCUGUUGCAGCGUCUUCAGUGUGAUAAGCAUCUUCACUGAAUCAAGUUCCUUUGGGACACGUGUGUAAUGUGGGCUCUGUGCUGGCAAACUGUCUUUGGACAAUCUUGACAAUUUGACCUCAGAUCGGGUGGGACUACCCGCUGAACUUAAGCAUAUCAAUAAGCGGAGGAAAAGAAACUAACAAGGAUUCCCCUAGUAACGGCGAGUGAAGAGGGAAAAGCUCAAAUUUUGAAUCUGGUGCCUGUGGCAUCCGAGUUGUAAUCUAGAGAAGUGUUUUCUGUCUUGGACCACACAUAAAUUCCCUGGAAUGGGGUGUCAUAGAGGGUGAGAAUCCCGUUUGUGGUGUGGACUACCUUGGCUCUGUGAUACACUCUCAACGAGUCGAGUUGUUUGGGAAUGCAGCUCAAAAUGGGUGGUAAAUUCCAUCUAAAGCUAAAUAUUGGCGAGAGACCGAUAGCGAACAAGUACCGUGAGGGAAAGAUGAAAAGCACUUUGGAAAGAGAGUGAAACAGUACGUGAAAUUGUUGAAAGGGAAGCGUUUGAAGUCAGUCACAUUGGUCAGAAUUCAGCCUGGCUUAUGCCUGGUGUACUUUCUGGCAAAUGGGUCAGCGUCAAUUUUGACCGAGGGAGAAAGACUUGAGGAAGGUGGCUGUCUUCGGGCAGUGUUAUAGCCUCUUGUUGUAAUUCUCGGUUGGGAUUGAGGAUCGCAGCACGCCUUAUGGCCGGGGUUCGCGCCCUCGGUACGUGCUUAGGACGCUGGCAUAAUGGCUUUAAGYGACCCGUCUUGAA